rnacentral:rRNA from 2 species
ACUAUCAUUAACUGAAUCCAUAGGUUAAUGAGGCGAACCGGGGGAACUGAAACAUCUAAGUACCCCGAGGAAAAGAAAUCAACCGAGAUUCCCCCAGUAGCGGCGAGCGAACGGGGAGGAGCCCAGAGCCUGAAUCAGCAUGUGUGUUAGUGGAAGCGUCUGGAAAGGCGCGCGAUACAGGGUGACAGCCCCGUACACAAAAGCGCAUGUGCUGUGAGCUCGAUGAGUAGGGCGGGACACGUGGUAUCCUGUCUGAAUAUGGGGGGACCAUCCUCCAAGGCUAAAUACUCCUGACUGACCGAUAGUGAACCAGUACCGUGAGGGAAAGGCGAAAAGAACCCCGGCGAGGGGAGUGAAAAAGAACCUGAAACCGUGUACGUACAAGCAGUGGGAGCACAGGUUUACCUG